rnacentral:rRNA from 1 species
AGUGAACGCUGGCGGUAGGCCUAACACAUGCAAGUCGAACGGCAGCACAGUAAGAGCUUGCUCUUACGGGUGGCGAGUGGCGGACGGGUGAGGAAUACAUCGGAAUCUACUUUUUCGUGGGGGAUAACGUAGGGAAACUUACGCUAAUACCGCAUACGUCCUACGGGUGAAAGCAGGGGAUCUUCGGACCUUGUGCGAUUGAAUGAGCCGAUGUCGGAUUAGCUAGUUGGCGGGGUAAAGGCCCACCAAGGCGACGAUCCGUAGCUGGUCUGGAAGGAGGAGCAGCCACGCUGGAACUAAGACACGGUCCGGACUCCUACGAGAGGCAGCAGUGGGAAAUAUUGGACAAUGGGAGCAAGCCUGAUCCAGCCAUACCGCGUGAGUGAAGAAGGCCUUCGGGUUGUAAAGCCCUUUUGUUGGGAAAGAAAAGCAGCAGGUUAAUACCCCGCUGUUAUGACGGUACCCAAAGAAUAAGCACCGGCUAACUUCGUG